UCUAAAGGGUUCUGGAGUUUCAGUAAUUUAUAAUGGAUCAUAAUGGAUCACCAUUUCGCUUUUCUGUCAAGGAUUGCCAUCUUAUACAGUGUUAUCACUUCAGUUGUGUCUUGUCACACAAACAUUAAAAUGUCUAACGUAGCUGAAACUUCGUUUCAUGACUUUGAAUCAACAAACGAUCUCUUUCGCCGAGCAGUAGAAGUAUACUUACGACGAAUGUAGCUAUAGCGAUUUUAUAGAUGUAGACUUACCUGCUGAUGCAACAUUAGUUGUUCAACAGAUGGGAACUUCUAGAGUAAUUAUCACACUCAAUAUAGAAAGUAUAAUACCCGAA